rnacentral:rRNA from 1 species
GACGAACGCUGGCGGCGUGCUUAACACAUGCAAGUCGAACGGAAAGGCCCUGCUUUUGUGGGGUGCUCGAGUGGCGAACGGGUGAGUAACACGUGAGUAACCUGCCCUUGACUUUGGGAUAACUUCAGGAAACUGGGGCUAAUACCGGAUAGGAGCUCCUGCUGCUUGGUGGGGGUUGGAAAGUUUCGGCGGUUGGGGAUGGACUCGCGGCUUAUCAGCUUGUUGGUGGGGUAGUGGCUUACCAAGGCUCUGACGGGUAGCCGGCCUGAGAGGGUGACCGGCCACAUUGGGACUGAGAUACGGCCCAGACUCCUACGGGAGGCAGCAGUGGGGAAGGUUGCACAAGGGGAGGAAGCCUGAUGCAGCAACGCCGCGUGCGGGAUGACGGCCUUCGGGUUGUAAACCGCUUUCGCCUGUGACGAAGCGUGAGUGACGGUAAUGGGUAAAGAAGCACCGGCUAACUACGUG